CCUACGGGAGGCAGCAGUGGGGAAUAUUGGACAAUGGGGGGAACCCUGAUCCAGCGACGCCGCGUGAGUGAAGAAGUCUUUCGGUAUGUAAAGCUCUAUCAGCAGGGAAGAAAAUGACGGUACCUGACUAAGAAGCCCCGGCUAACUACGUGCCAGCAGCCGCGGUAAUACGUAGGGGGCCAGCGUUAUCCGGAUUUACUGGGUGUAAAGGGGGCGUAGGCGGAACAUUAAGUCAGCGGUAAAAUCGAGGGGCUCAAACCCUGUAAGCCGUUGAAACUGGUGAGCGUGAGUGGGCGAGAAGUAUGCGGAAUGCGUGGUGUAGCGGUGAAAUGCAUAGAUAUCACGCAGAACUCCGAUUGCGAAGGCAGCAGACCGGCGCCCAACUGACGCUGAAGCACGAAGGCGUGGGGAUCGAACAGGAUUAGAUACCCGAGUAGUC
rnacentral:rRNA from 1 species